rnacentral:rRNA from 1 species
UACAGAGGUCUCAAGCGUUGUUCGGAUUCAUUGGGCGUAAAGGGUGCGUAGGUGGCAUGGUAAGUCGGAUGUGAAAUCCCGGGGCUCAACCCCGGAACUGCAUUCGAUACUGCUGCGCUAGAGUACUGGAGAGGAGAUUGGAAUUUACGGUGUAGCAGUGAAAUGCGUAGAUAUCGUAAGGAAGACCAGUGGCGAAGGCGGAUCUCUGGACAGUUACUGACACUGAGGCGCGAAAGCGUGGGGAUCAAACAGG